UGUCGUCUUUUCGCUGGAGGACGAUGACUUCGAUCCCCUAGGCGAUAUAGCAAGGGAGGGGUAAAUGCGGUUGAGCAAGAGCAGCUUGUGUGAUUGGAACGGAAAAGAUCCAUCGAAGCUGAUGGCUCUUGUCCAUGAACUCAGGGAUCUGUACACACAUUAUGAGAGGAGGAGGGUAGGGGAGAUUGAUGAUGCUAGGCUUAAGUUUGAACUUAAUACUAUGCUUUCGAGGGAGGGGAUUGAAGUAUGUAUGGUUCCAUCUCCUGAUAGGCCAGAGGAAGUAAAAUUUUCU